rnacentral:pre_miRNA from 1 species
AUGAACAUGAUCCAAAGCCCACUGAAGUCAAUGGGAGUCUUUUCAUUGACUUCACUGGACUUUGGAUCAAGCCCUAUAUAU